rnacentral:rRNA from 1 species
UACGGAGGGGGCUAGCGUUGUUCGGAAUCAUUGGGCGUAAAGCGCGUGUAGGCGGCCCGGUAAGUCCGCUGUGAAAGUCGGAGGCUCAACCUUCGAAAGCCGAUGGAUACUGUGUGACUUGAGUACGGAAGAGGAGAGUGGAAUUCCUGGUGUAGCGGUGAAAUGCGCAGAUAUCAGGAGGAACACCAACGGCGAAGGCAGCUCUCUGGGACGUUACUGACGCUGAGACGCGAAAGCGUGGGGAGCAAACAGG